GAUGAACGCUGGCGGCGUGCCUAAUACAUGCAAGUCGAGCGAACGGACGAGAAGCUUGCUUCUCUGAUGUUAGCGGCGGACGGGUGAGUAACACGUGGAUAACCUACCUAUAAGACUGGGAUAACUUCGGGAAACCGGAGCUAAUACCGGAUAAUAUUAUGAACCGCAUGGUUCAAAAGUGAAAGACGGUCUUGCUGUCACUUAUAGAUGGAUCCGCGCUGCAUUAGCUAGUUGGUAAGGUAACGGCUUACCAAGGCAACGAUGCAUAGCCGACCUGAGAGGGUGAUCGGCCACACUGGAACUGAGACACGGUCCAGACUCCUACGGGAGGCAGCUGUAGGGAAUCUUCCGCAAUGGGCGAAAGCCUGACGGAGCAACGCCGCGUGAGUGAUGAAGGUCUUCGGAUCGUAAAACUCUGUUAUUAGGGAAGAACAUAUGUGUAAGUAACUGUGCACAUCUUGACGGUACCUAAUCAGAAAGCCACGGCUAACUACGUG
rnacentral:rRNA from 1 species